CCUACGGGAGGCAGCAGUGGGGAAUAUUGCACAAUGGGGGAAACCCUGAUGCAGCGACGCCGCGUGAGUGAAGAAGUAUUUCGGUAUGUAAAGCUCUAUCAGCAGGGAAGAAAAUGACGGUACCUGAUUCAGAAGCCCCGGCUAACUACGUGCCAGCAGCCGCGGUAAUACGUAUGGGGCAAGCGUUAUCCGGAUUUACUGGGUGUAAAGGGAGCGUAGACGGCAGCACAAGUCUGGAGUGAAAUGCCGGGGCUUAACCCCGGAACUGCUUGGGAAACUGUGCAGCGAGAGUGCAGGAAGGGUAAGUGGAAUUCCUAGUGUAGCGGUGAAAUGCGUAGAUAUGAGGAGGAACACCAGUGGCGAAGGCGGCUUACUGGACUGUAACUGACGUUGAGGCUCGAAAGCGUGGGGAGCAAACAGGAUUAGAUACCCGAGUAGUC
rnacentral:rRNA from 1 species